GCGCAGGGCCAUCGGGGGCCGAACCCAGCGCGCGCACCAACCCACCCGGGCAUAGAGGCAGACCCGCGUUCCGGGGAACCCUCCGCCCAUCUGGCGGGGGCCCCCGGGUGGCGGGUCACGGUUGCAAAUCGGUCAGAAUUUUCACGUAAAGCAUUUCCUCCACCGGCGCGCCCCGGCCGAAGCCAAAGCGCCCGGGGACGGCGCACCGCCGGCGGGCGCGCGCACCGGAGGCGGGCCGCCCCGCCUCCGCUCAAGCAAUCUCGUUCGAUCAAAGUGUUUCACCCACCGGCGCGCCCCGGCCGAAGCCAGGGCGCACCGGAGGCGGGCCGCCCCGCCGCCAUCUCUCUCGCUCAGCGAUCCAGCCGCGAAACCCACCGACCAGCCACAGUGCCCGGAACGAGGCUCCGGUUCGUUCACCCUCGCCACUGUCCGAGGGCGUCCGAAAAUACUGAGGUCUGAGUCGGAUCCGAACCGCACAAACGCCGGUCCUCACUCCUGGAGGCCUAUGUUUCUAAAAACCGGGUUUCAGGAAUCUGCGACCUGGUGGCCCAGUGAUGUCGGCUGGAACUUUUUUUUUCCGGUCCGCUCAAAUUUCUCCAGGCAUUUUCUGAGCUUUCCUUCACAUAUUCCGACUUUUACUUAGUUUCUGACGGAGCCAAAAAAGUCCGGGUUUUUUUGCCCUCCUUAUCGUCCCGACUGGAAACUUUAACUCCGUAUUUUAAGUCAGAAAAUUAAAGUUCUUUUCAUCCAGGAGACCGACCCUUCCUUCAAAGUGUCCCAUACAGUGCUUCGUCAUCGGACAUCGGCCGGGAUCUCCCGCUCUCUGGAACUGUGUAUUCAUC
ensembl:lncRNA